GCGGACGGGUGAGUAAUGCCUANCGAAUCUGCCUGGUAGUGGGGGAUAACGUUCGGAAACGGACGCUAAUACCGCAUACGUCCUACGGGAGAAAGCAGGGGACCUUCGGGCCUUGCGCUAUCAGAUGAGCCUAGGUCGGAUUAGCUAGUUGGUGGGGUAAUGGCUCACCAAGGCGACGAUCCGUAACUGGUCUGAGAGGAUGAUCAGUCACACUGGAACUGAGACACGGUCCAGACUCCUACGGGAGGCAGCAGUGGGGAAUAUUGGACAAUGNGCGAAAGCCUGAUCCAGCCAUGCCGCGUGUGUGAAGAAGGUCUUCGGAUUGUAAAGCACUUUAAGUUGGGAGGAAGGGUUGUAGAUUAAUACUCUGCAAUUUUGACGUUACCGACAGAAUAAGCACCGGCUAACUCUGUGCCAGCAGCCGCGGUAAUACAGAGGGUGCAAGCGUUAAUCGGAAUUACUGGGCGUAAAGCGCGCGUAGGUGGUUAGUUAAGUUGGAUGUGAAAUCCCCGGGCUCAACCUGGGAACUGCAUUCAAAACUGACUGACUAGAGUAUGGUAGAGGGUGGUGGAAUUUCCUGUGUAGCGGUGAAAUGCGUANAUAUAGGAAGGAACACCAGUGGCGAAGGCGACCACCUGGACUGAUACUGACACUGAGGUGCGAAAGCGUGGGGAGCAAACAGGA
rnacentral:rRNA from 1 species